rnacentral:rRNA from 1 species
AGAGUUUGAUUAUGGCUCAGGACGAACGCUGGCGGCGGUGCUUAACACAUGCAAGUCGAGCGGAGAAUAUAGCAAUAUAUUCUUAGCGGCGGACGGGUGAGUAACGCGUGGGUAACCUGCCUUUUACAGGGGGAUAACACUGGGAAACUAGUGCUAAAUACCGCAUAAAAAUAGUGAAGUGGCAUCAACUUUACUAUCAAAGGAGCAAUCCGGUAAAAAGAUGGACCCGCGUCCGAUUAGCUAGUUGGAGGGGUAACGGCCCACCAAGGCGACGAUCGGUAGCCGAACUGAGAGGUUGAUCGGCCACAUUGGGACCGAGACACGGCCCAGACUCCUACGGGAGGCAGCAGUGGGGAAUAUUGCGACCAAUGGGGGAAACCCUGACGCAGCAACGCCGCGUGAAGGAUGAAGGUUUUCGGAUUGUAAACUUCUUUGAUUGGGGACGAUAAUGACGGUAACCCAAAAAACAAGCCACGGCUAACUACGUGCCAGCCGCCGC